UUUCCGUAGGUGAACCUGCGGAAGGAUCAUUAUUGUAUAACCGAGGUGCGAGUCCUGUCGCUGACCCGAGUGUUCGUGCACGCCCUGCUUCCCUGACCCCCCUCCAUCUCCCCCCUAUGUGCACCACCCCGUGGCUCCCCCUUCGGCGUGUUCGGUGGGGGGCGUACGUUUUCUCACAACCUUUGUAUGCAUUGUUGAAUGUAUUUUUUGUUUUUGCGAUCACUUAAUUCAUACAACUUUGAACAACGGAUCACUUGGGUCUCGCACCGAUGAAGAACC
rnacentral:misc_RNA from 1 species